rnacentral:rRNA from 1 species
UACGUAGGGGGCAAGCGUUGUCCGGAAUCAUUGGGCGUAAAGAGCGUGUAGGCGGCCAGAUAAGUCCGCCGUGAAAUCUCGAGGCUCAACUUCGAGCUGUCGGUGGAAACUGUCUGGCUAGAGUCCGGAAGAGGAGAAUGGAAUUCCUGGUGUAGCGGUGAAAUGCGCAGAUAUCAGGAAGAACACCCGUGGCGAAGGCGGUUCUCUGGGACGGUACUGACGCUGAGACGCGAAAGCGUGGGGAGCGAACAGG